GCCAGCCCGCUCAAGAAACUCAAAGGAAGUUGACGGGGGCCCGCACAAGCAGCGGAGCAUGUGGUUUAAUUCGAAGCAACGCGAAGAACCUUACCUAGACUUGACAUCUCCUGAAUUACCCGUAACUGGGGAAGCUCUUCGGAGCAGGAAGACAGGUGGUGCAUGGUUGUCGUCAGCUCGUGUCGUGAGAUGUUGGGUUAAGUCCCGCAACGAGCGCAACCCUUUAUCGUUAGUUGCUACCAUUAAGUUGAGCACUCUAGCGAGACUGCCCGGGUUAACCGGGAGGAAGGUGGGGAUGACGUCAAAUCAUCAUGCCCCUUAUGUCUAGGGCUACACACGUGCUACAAUGGUGAGGACAAAGAGACGCAAGACCGCGAGGUGGAGCAAAUCUCACAAACCUCAUCCCAGUUCGGAUUGCAGGCUGAAACUCGCCUGCAUGAAGCCGGAGUUGCUAGUAAUCGCGAAUCAGCAUGUCGCGGUGAAUACGUUCCCGGGCCUU
rnacentral:rRNA from 1 species